rnacentral:circRNA from 1 species
GUGUUGUCUACAUCUACUGGCCUAACAAAAACAGUGUAUAAUCCAGCUGCUUUGAAGGCUGCACAGAAAACCUUACUUGUUUCCACCUCUGCAGUUGAUAAUAAUGAAGCACAGAAAAAAAAACAGGAGGCAUUGAAACUUCAGCAGGAUGUAAGGAAAAGGAAACAAGAAAUUUUAGAAAAGCACAUUGAAACACAGAAGAUGUUAAUUUCAAAACUGGAGAAAAACAAAACAAUGAAGUCUGAAGAUAAAGCAGAAAUAAUGAAAACUUUAGAGGUUUUGACAAAAAAUAUUACCAAGUUGAAAGAUGAGGUCAAAGCUGCUUCUCCUGGACGCUGUCUUCCAAAAAGUAUAAAAACCAAGACUCAGAUGCAGAAGGAAUUACUUGACACAGAACUGGAUUUAUAUAAGAAGAUGCAGGCUGGAGAAGAAGUCACUGAACUUAGGAGAAAGUAUACAGAAUUACAGCUGGAA